rnacentral:tRNA from 1 species
GUUCCUGUAGUUUAAGCCAAAAACAGUGGUUUUUCGUGCCAUUGAUCCUGGUUAAAGUCUGGGCGGGAAUU